rnacentral:snRNA from 1 species
GUGCUGGGAUUAUAGAUAUGUGCCACCACUCUUGGCCCUUGCAGCACAUGCUCUAAAAUUGGAAUAACAUAGAGAUUAUUAUUGCCCCUCUACAAGGAUGAUCCACAAAUUCUAAAGUGUUCUGUAUUUUGU